UGAACCCAUGACAGCCUGCUGAGCUGAGCCUAGGACCAAAUGAGCCUCCAGUCUCAGAAAGACAGAUGGCUUCCUUGUCAUAGGUUCCAAGGAGAUAACCCAGUUUCCGAAUGGAAAUGAGGUUGGAUGAGGACCUGAAGGGAAAGAUCCGAUGCAGGCAUCUCAAGCUCAGCUCUGCUCAUGUUCCUGUAACCACGAGGGUUCCUGGCUGCCGCAAGCCAGCCUUUCCCCAGAGCCCUAGGGAUCCCUCGCUUUGGUCUGAGAACUUGGUCUGUUCUUCUCUCUUAUGGGCAGUAAACUAUUUCUGAAUCUCAGGAAAA